rnacentral:rRNA from 1 species
ACGUAGGAUGCAAGCGUUGUCCGGAUUUAUUGGGCGUAAAGAGUUCGUAGGCGGAUUGUUAAGUCUGGUGUUAAAGGCGCGGGCCCAACCCGUGUACUGCACUGGAUACUGGCAGACUUGAGUGUGGUAGAGGCAAGUGGAAUUCCCAGUGUAGCGGUGAAAUGCGUAGAUAUUGGGAAGAACACCGGUGGCGCAAGCGACUUGCUGGGCCAUUACUGACGCUGAGGAACGAAAGCUAGGGGAGCGAAUGGGA